GGAAAGAUGGCAGAGUGGUCGAUUGCGGCGGUCUUGAAAACCGUUGAACCGAGAGGUUCCCGGGGUUCGAAUCCCUGUCUUUCCGCAA
rnacentral:tRNA from 1 species